AGAGGUAGUUUAUGAGAGAAUAUUGUUUUUGUAAAACAGGGGUAUUAUUUUAGUCCUUUU
rnacentral:tRNA from 1 species